rnacentral:rRNA from 1 species
AUUGAACGCUGGCGGCAGGCCUAACACAUGCAAGUCGAACGGUAACAGGAAGAAGCUUGCUUCUUUGCUGACGAGUGGCGGACGGGUGAGCAAUGUCUGGGAAACUGCCUGAUGGAGGGGGAUAACUACUGGAAACGGUAGCUAAUACCGCAUAACGUCGCAAGACCAAAGAGGGGGACCUUCGGGCCUCUUGCCAUCCGAUGUGCCCAGAUGGGAUUAGCUAGUAGGUGGGGUAACGGCUCACCUAGGCGACGAUCCCUAGCUGGUCUGAGAGGAUGACCAGCUACACUGGAACUGAGACAGGGUCCAGACUCCUACGGGAGGCCGCAGUGGGGAAUAUUGCGCAAUGGGGGCAAGCCUGAUGCAGCAAUGCCGCGUGUAGGAAGAAGGCCUUCGGGUUGGAAAGUACUUUCGGCGGGGGGGAAGGGAGUAAAGUUAAGCCCUUUGCUCAUUGACGUUACCCGCAGAAGAAGCACCGGCUAACUCCGUG